GACGAACGCUGGCGGCGUGCCUAAUACAUGCAAGUAGAACGCUGAAGAGAGGAGCUUGCUCUUCUUGGCUGAGUUGCGAACGGGUGAGUAACGCGUAGGUAACCUGCCUUGUAGCGGGGGAUAACUAUUGGAAACGAUAGCUAGUACCGCAUAACAAUGGAUGACACAUGUCAUUUAUUUGAAAGGGGCAAUUGCUCCACUACAAGAUGGACCUGCGUUGUAUUAGCUAGUAGGUGAGGUAAUGGCUCACCUAGGCGACGAUACAUAGCCGACCUGAGAGGGUGAUCGGCCACACUGGGACUGAGACACGGCCCAGACUCCUACGGGAGGCAGCAGUAGGGAAUCUUCGGCAAUGGGGGCAACCCUGACCGAGCAACGCCGCGUGAGUGAAGAAGGUUUUCGGAUCGUAAAGCUCUGUUGUAAGUCAAGAACGGGUGUGAGAGUGGAAAGUUCACACUGUGACGGUAGCUUACCAGAAAGGGACGGCUAACUACGUG
rnacentral:rRNA from 1 species